AUUGAACGCUGGCGGCAUGCCUUACACAUGCAAGUCGAACGGUAACAGGUCUUCGGAUGCUGACGAGUGGCGAACGGGUGAGUAAUACAUCGGAACGUGCCCGAGAGUGGGGGAUAACGAGGCGAAAGCUUUGCUAAUACCGCAUACGAUCUCAGGAUGAAAGCAGGGGACCGCAAGGCCUUGCGCUCACGGAGCGGCCGAUGGCAGAUUAGGUAGUUGGUGGGAUAAAAGCUUACCAAGCCGACGGUCUGUAGCUGGUCUGAGAGGACGACCAGCCAGACUGGGACUGAGACACGGCCCAGAAUCCUACGGGAGGCAGCAGUGGGGAAUUUUGGACAAUGGGCGCAAGCCUGAUCCAGCCAUGCCGCGUGCAGGAUGAAGGCCUUCGGGUUGUAAACUGCUUUUGUACGGAACGAAAAGACUCUGGUUAAUACCUGGGGUCCAUGACGGUACCGUAAGAAUAAGCACCGGCUAACUACGUGCCAGCCGCCGCAGUAAGAC
rnacentral:rRNA from 1 species